ensembl:lncRNA
CUUCUGACAGGUAAUCAGAAUAAAAGCUUAACUGUUAAAGUUUAAAUAAUAGCCUGACUCAAAGGAACAGAGUAAGAUGGCUUUUUCAUUAAUGUUUAGACGAGAUGCACAUGAUCAGAUUCAGUAAAUGAACCUGUAACCUUUCCUAAAUCACUGAUUCAACAAUGCUCAUGCCAACUGCAAACAGAUGCAGAAUAAGAGUUUGUAAUGUAAUUUCACUCUUGGGGACAUCGUUUACAGCAUUGAUGCAUGAAAUACAAAGCAACAAAUAUAACAAGCAGGAGACACUGCAAAUAAGACACUCCAGGUACAUUAUUUAGGAGGGCCAUAGCAGGUGGCAGCUGUGGGGAAGGAAGCUUUUACCAAGAGCACCAGUAUGACUAGUGAGCUCACACUGGGUGAAAGUGAGAGUGUGAAGGCCUUUAUGUGGAAUACCAAGUCAUUGUAUUGAGACUGUUGAUUGUAGUGGCUAGCUGUCAACAGACACAGCAUAGCAUGACGCACAGUGUCCAGCCAGAAUGAGUUCAUUAAAAAGCAUGCUGGUAAUGCAUGCACAUAAAAAUAAAAUAUGUUCAGAAUGAUGUCACUAUAUUGCACAGACUCUGUGGUUUGUUGGCCAUUGUAAUGGUUAAAUAUACAUUUAACUCGAAUGGCCUCCAAAUUCUAUUUUUGACCAUGGAACAGCUUUAUAAUGCAUACUGCAUUGUGAUGAUGACUUUUUUUCUUCUUCUUUUAAAUCAAACCUCAGCUGUCACAAUCACUCACACUGAAGUGAUUGUCUACAUGCAGAUACAAUACAGCUUUUUGUUAAAGAAUUCAGCUGGAUUCAGAUUUUUGACAUAUCCACUUUAUAUAUAGUGUUUUUCUUCUGGCUUACUCUGUAAGUAUUUAAUAUGUUUUGCAUCAAAAAUCCAGAGAGCAAUCAUCACAAUACGUUUCAUUUUUAAAAUGCAUAUACCCUUUGAGGCUUUGGGAAAUACGCUUUUGGGAAAUUCUUUUCCUAGCCAGAGUUAGAAAGACAGGGUUGAUAAUACUCUGGCCAGCUGUACAGUAAGUACAAAGGUAGAGCUAGCUGUCAGUUAGCUUGGCUUUUUUAUAAAACUGAGUACCAGGCUCAGUCCAAACAUCGAAACAAUCAGUCUAUUCAAGUCAUCUUAUUAUACUAACAUGUUAGACCUACAUUGUCUUUGUAUACUUUGUAUACAGAAACUGAAAUGUCAAAAUUGGGGUUUAUUUUCUCAGGUUUGGGCCUGGAAAUCAACCAAAAAAAUGCCCAUGAAAUUAGAACUUGUUAGUUUUAUGCCUUAGUUGUUGCAUAUAUGAAACAAAAAUGUUAAUAGGUUAUCUUUAAAGGUGCUGGUCAGUAGAUUAUGUCAUCAUAGCCCAGUUAGCUGCUCUGCUUUAUCUGUUUGUGCUAAAUUAAGCUAACUACUGGUUAUAGAUUCACAUAAGAAAAUCUGUAUGUUUAGCUUGUUUCCCAAAAUUUCAAACUGUUCCUUUAAGCUAGCUUUGAAAAAGUUCACAAAUUCUUUUUGCCACCACCAGUGUCUCAAGAGUCAUUUAUUAAGAGUAAAUACAUGCACAUUACUUGUAGGUCUACAGCAUUUUAAGUUUCAUAUGCAAUGAACCAAAAGAACAAGAUUUAAACUCUACAUAUAAACUCUACACUAAUAAAUACUUUUAUUUUGGAUGCGCAUUACUUGUAGGUCUGCAAUAUAUUGAGUUUCAUAAAUAAUUAACCAAAAGAAUAAGAUUUAAACUCUACAUUGAUGCUGCUAUAGCUUCAAAAAUCCUAAAAUCACAGUGGGAAAAUAAAACAACAGAUCAGUGCUUUAUGAACCUAUGUUGACCACAGAGACACGCUAAACCACAUCACAUCAUUGUCUUUGUGGAUUUUCUUAGAAUAGACUAUAAACAAGUUGAGAUUUUUUUUAUAUAUAUAGUGAGAGAACUUUUCGGCACUGAUUAGUCAGUGCCUGUUUUCAAGCUCAAAAUCUAACGACGAUGGAAAUAUUGGCUCCAAACGGGAUAUUUGGGAUAAUGCUGAGCUGUACAAAUAAUUCAAAAGAAACAGGGUGGGGCACCUUCUGGCCACCAUCUCCUCGUCAGCAAUCCCAAACAGGUGGCGCUGUCUUUGAUAUUUAUAGCACCCCAGUGUGUCUAGUGUUGACUCCUCUGUACAUAAUAGUGCCAUAAAAGUGCCGAAGUGACACCAUAGAAGUGUUCUGUGACGUCCUGCAGAGAACUUUGUCUGAACACGCUGGAGCUCAAAGCAGAUCCUCCGGUUGUAUGUAGCCUUUUUGUGAUAUCCCUCAACUUACUUUCACCACAUCAUCCUAAAGUGUCCCAAAAAUAUAUUGCCUAUAGAAUAUUGUACAUUGGUCUAGAAAACAGUAACACUUAGGAUGUAAUAACUGUUAAUAUGUAGAAGUUUUCUACUAGUGAAGGUAUUGUCGAAUUUAGAUUGAAUUCUCUUUCCAUCAGUGACAAAGCUGAUACUGUUGCUUUGGUACAAUUGAAAACAAUACUUUGCUUGAACGUAUUGUUUUUAUUACUGUGGCACCGAUGUUGAGCUGUAGUCUGAAUUUGUACAGUAGAUGAGGCUGACUGUAGAAGAUCAGCCAAACUUCACUGAUAGCGGUCCUGCAACUGUGCCUGGAUGCGAAGCUCUACUCUAAGACUUUAUGAUCGGAGCUCAUGUUGUGCCAUAUCAACCUGUGCACUGUAACAUUCAACACUUGCAAAGAAGAAAACAACAUAUUUUAGGUCUGUCCGACAAGUGCAAGGGCAGCAGCAUUUGCUUGACCUUGCAUUGACCUGUGGCAACAGGACUGUUUUCUUUUAGCACCUCAAUGUGCUCAAGACGUUUUGCCUUGUGAUGGAAAAUAACUUUAAAGCUUAAAUGUUUUUUUUCAUCCUAUUAUUUUCAUUCAUCUCUUUUGAUGGCCUUGCCGUGUGGUAACAACAGUUUGACUUUUAUAAAGGACUUUUAGUGGCAGGAGUAUUGACCUAUGAAGAGUUCACUACCAAAAUAUGACAUCUGCAAAGAAAAAUUAUUAUUAUCUAUGGUGGUUAAAGACACAUUUCGCCAACAAUAAAUAGGUUUCCUGUUUAAAAAAAAAGAAGAUAUAAUUUGUUUAAAAUUUUUGUUGCUAUUAUGUAUUUUGGAAUUAUUUUUUUUGACAUUUUGGAAGGCAACUCUUCAUAUACGGAUUGAUAAUCCUUUGUUUUGAGCCUUUAGGCAGCAUGUUGCCUUUGAUUUGAGAGAAACAUUAUGCUAACAGUGACGGCUUUAAAAUGACAUGUCUGCUUAUGCUGUUGGUGGUAGUCAAAAUGAGAAUUGUAGGAUUCUUUGUAAGGGACCUUUGCAAAAGAAAAGGGUAAUGAAAUAAGAAUAUAUCACCUAUAUUUUCAAAGAUUUUUUAGAUAUGCUCUGUUGCUUCUUGGUAUUUGUUUUCAAUUUUUUUCUGAUAAAUUUAUAUUUAAAAGCUUUAGUUCUGUAUAUUUCUUGGAAAUUACAUGAUUGUAUGUUUAUUGUAAAUACAUUAAAUAUACUAUUUUUGUUUGUAAUACGAA